UUGAGUGAGUGCACUAAUAUUAGUGCUAUAAUUAUUUUAUUUUGGUCACAUGAAUAAUUAUACUAUGGUACUUUAUUAAUGAGUAAUAUUUCCAUAGUUUUUGUGAUUAUUAUUUAAUCACCCUUCUCACAUGAUUUAUUUUUAAUUUCCCAAGUAUGAGACUAAUUACUAAAAUUUACUAAGUGUAGAGAUUGAGAGAGUAGAGAUUUAGAGAGUAGAGAUUAGAGAGAGUGUAGAGAUUAGAGAGAGAGAGAUCAAGGCAUUAAUUGCCAAAUAUUUCAUAAGAUUCUCAAAUCCUCUUUAAAGAUUCACAAAUCUUUUAUAAGAUUACCAAGAUCAUUUCAUAUCUUGCAAAUUCCUCUCUCUCCUUCUCCCCUAACUUUCGACCACCACCUCUCUCCCCUUCAUCUCUCUACUUUCCACCAUUUUCCUCCAUUGAUGCACCUUCGGAGCUUCACAAAUUCAUACCAAAACUCAAAUCACCCUCUAAAUCCACCUUAAACACCUUCCAUCUCCUUAGAUUCAAGAAGAUCCAUGGAGAUUCAAUCUUGAAGUUAGUGAGAGAAAAUUUGAUAUUUGGUGUAAACUUGGACACGAGCAGAGCAGGGAAGUAAGUAACUCCGCUUUGACGGGAGUUUUUGAGUAAGGUCUUCAGGCUAAGCGAGGAGUGAGAUUGGUCUGGUGCUGGUGGGGGAUCGUUAGAUGACGU